rnacentral:rRNA from 1 species
CCUACGGGUGGCAGCAGUGGGGAAUCUUGCGCAAUGCGCGAAAGCGUGACGCAGCAACGCCGCGUGGGGGAAGACGGCCUUCGGGUUGUAAACCCCUUUCAGGAGGGACGAAGGUUCGCCGGUGAAUAGCCGUGCGGAUUGACGGUACCUCCACAAGAAGCUCCGGCUAACUACGUGCCAGCAGCCGCGGUAAUACGUAGGGAGCAAGCGUUGUCCGGAAUCAUUGGGCGUAAAGCGCGCGUAGGUGGCCACAUAAGUCCGUUGUGAAAGUCAAAGGCUCAACCUUUGAAAGCCGAUGGAUACUGUGUGGCUAGAGUACGGAAGAGGCGAGUGGAAUUCCUGGUGUAGCGGUGGAAUGCGCAGAUAUCAGGAGGAACACCAAUAGCGAAGGCAGCUCGCUGGGACGUUACUGACACUGAGGCGCGAAAGCGUGGGGAGCGAACAGGAUUAGAUACCCGUGUAGUC